GAUUUAAAGAUUUGUUUAUUUAUUAUGUUUAAGUCCACUAUAGCUGUCUUCAGAUACACCAGAAGAGGGCAUCAGAUGUCAUAAUGGGUGGUUGUGAGCCACAAUGUGGUUGCUGGGCUUUGAACUCAGGACCUUCAGAACAGCAGUCAAUGCUCUUAACCACCGAGUCAUCUCUCCAGCCCCCUUAGGAGGACUUAUAAUAAAGCAACAUUAAGGGAAAGCCCAAGAUCCGUUUACCAACUAAAGCAAGGACAUUGGAGCAUUCUUUAUACGUGAUGGCAAGAUUCCAGGAGACUAAGUUUCCGUGAACUUCUCGCCUCAGGACAGCACACAGGUUUUCGGGGCCUGUCGCGCUUCUCACUACUGGAUUGGAUGUAGCACAUAUGUACAUUGUUUAACAUUUUUAAAAUUCAGAUAUAUAAGUAAUGUCUAUUUGCCAUAACUGAGUAGGUACCAGUCCUAGAGGAUUAACUCCUAGAGGAUUAACACCUUUGUGUGAUACAGGAAGAAAUUGAGGACACUGAUGAAAGUCUUUACAAUUUGACAUGCACAUUCUCAAGAAAUACCAAAUUGUUGUCUCAACCUAUUGCUUUUUAAUGAUGUAAAGAAAGAGAGUGUUUGGCUGAACUAUUCCUGUGUAAUGCCUAUACUCUGCCUGAUAUGCAAACCUGCUGCAGCAUUGCCCUCAUUAAGGGGUCUGGGCAAUCCACUAUGAGCUUUUAAAUGUAAGGUGUAUGCCACCACUGCCAGGUUGAUGCUCUAUUUUGCCCCUGACAACCAUAUAAAAGCUCGCCGAACAGGCACGCGGGUCACCACCUCUCCUUAGGGUCUGGGAUGACCCCAGUUUAGUGGAACAAUAAAUUCCUCUUGCUUUUUCCAUUGAUUCCAGCCCCACAUGGUUCACUCACAGGUCCCCAGUAAGCUAAGGCUCCCGGGAGUCUUACAACCCAACAAGAAGACCAACAGUCUCAAGAAACCUUGACCUUGGAAAUCUCUCAGACUCUGAGCCAGCAACCAGGCAGCAUACACUUGUUGGUCCAAGGUCCCUAACAUAUAUACAGAGGAGGACUGCCUGGCCCGGACUCAGGGAGGGAAGACACACCUAAUCCUCGAGAGACUUGAAGUCCCAGGGAUUGGGGAAGCCUGGCAGGAUGUUGUUGAAUGGUUGUGGGUGUGAGGACACCCUCAUGGAGAUGUACAGAGGGGUCGGGAUAUGGGAUGAGAAACUGUAAGUGGUUGGAAUGGGGGGGUGAUAAUGACUGGAGUAUAAUUAAAGAAUAAACAUAAUUUAAAAAUCUCCAUUCUGGUUGUUUGAAAUAUGUCUUAAAUUCUAAGGGAAACUCUCCCUUAAUCUUACUACAGUCUUAAUUGUCUUUAAUCCUAUCCACUAAAUAUAAUGUGACCUAGGUAACAUAAAGAGAAAGUGCCAACAGAGAAGGUGCACAGAAGUCUGGAGUUCAGAUCCACAUCCUGAUUCCUGGGGUCAGAGCCCUCCCUGGAGGCCGACUCCCCUCUCGCAGGGAAAGUGUCUAGGGUUCUGGGUGUUAGGUCUGUCUUCUGGCUGAGGAUGAAGGCCUGUAGGGACCUUGUUCAAGAAGCUUAGUUACUUCUGCUGCCCACUUACUCUCCUGCAUAACCAGUUCUCAGUGAUCCCAAGAUUCUGGAUGUGCUAGGGCCUGCCUUUGUCCUUUGACCCUGUUGCUGCUAGCACAAGACCCUCUGGAUUUUUUGGAAGUGAUGUUGCAUUCCACUCACCAGUGAUCUCAAGGACCAGAGUGUGCUAGGGGGCCUUCAGCAUGAAGAGUCCUCUGGGGACCUUUGGGCCCUCUGCUGAGAUCUGGCCAAAGAUUGCAUGGGGGUGGGAGAGGGUGGCUCCAACCAGAAGUUAACCUCAGUCGCUGGUCACGCUGCUGUCCUUUGUCCCUGUUCCUACUAUUACAAGACCCUCUGUAUUUUUUGGAACUUAUAUUGCAUUCCACUUACCACUGAUCUCAAGGACCUGGGUGUGCUAGGGUGCCAGCCAUGUGGAGAAUCCUCUGCAGACAUUAGGGCCCUUCACAGAGAUUGCCUCAAACACUCUUACACAAUCACCACCUGCUCAUUUUUCCUUAAAAGAAGUUAAAACAAAUCUCAUCGAUUUCUCUCUAUUCUUUUUUUCUGAUUAUAGCUCUGGGCAGCCUCUACCAUCUACCUCUGUUGUUGCUUUCUGAGCAGCCUGUCUCUUUGUACUGCACCUCCAAGCUUAAACUAUUUGAGGCAGACAGAAAUCUUUUAGAAGGGCUCAUGGUGGAAGAGGGCUCAUGGAAAAUCCAGACCAACAAGGAUGUCUGGAUCAGCUUGGGACAUUUUUCUGAGUCCCAGCUCAUUCCACAAAUCCAAGAAUUAUGCAUACCAUUUUAGCUCAACUUUUGUUUUAGUUGUGAACCUGCACAGCUAGUGAGGACUCAAAUGGCUCAGCAAAACAAGUGAAUCCACUAAGAAACCAAUUUUCCUCAUCCCUUAAUUUCACAUCUUAGCAUUUGGUUUUCAUUUGAGAAUCCCCAAUUAGUUUUUAAUAUUGCAUUCCAUCCUGUAGGUGUGAUGCCUUCUGUAGACUCAGUUGGUUACUCUGCUCUACUAUAGGAUGCCACCUGUUUAAGUUCUUAGCUUAGCAUACAAGUACUUUGGAGUCUGAAAUGAAAGACAAACAGCAUUAUGUAAUAUGCCAAAUCAGCUCAUUGGCUGGGACACUACCAAACAUCCACAUUGCUAUUGGUUCCCCUGUGAUACACCUAAUUUCCUAAAUCUAGAGGCCAUCUUUGCUUCUCCAGAACCAAUCAGAGGAGGGAACACUGGGGUCACUCUUUCCUAGCUUUUAUGUGGCUGGUAUUGUGUCUUUCCCAGCUCUGAAGCUGGCAUCCAAAUCCUUUACUGGCAUGGAGAUCCUCUUUGUUUCCCUUGCCAUGAAUCCAAAAGUUCUGCCUUUGUUGCCUGCCUAGCCAUUGGCUGCUGGCACUUUUGUUACCCAUUUAUAAUCAGCUUGGGGCAGGGAAUCUCAGUGUCCCAGUACAGGAUUAUCAUGAAAUUUGGGAAGAAUUUAACAGGAGUAGCAUAAGAAUCAAUACACAAUUGGGAAUUAGCAGAAAAACAAAUCAAAUCCAAACACCAGGCCCUAAGUAUUGCCUUUUUGUUAUUAUCCUGAAUUUAAUCAUAUGGUGAAACUAAGUUUGUUUCCAAGGAUUAGGUAUUGUGGAGAUCCAACCUCACUUUACUCAUAUUUUCUUUUUAAAACAUAAUGACUGUCUCUAACAAUGCUUUCUGCUUUUCAUUGUGCCCCUCAAAACAUAAGACCUGUACUUUACCACCAAAGAACAAAUCCAUAUGAUUAGUUAAGCUAUAACACCCAUAAUAUAUAACAGAUGACACUGUAAACUACAUAAGCCCCUAUCCCUAAAUCCUGAUUGGUGUGAAAAUAAAGGUAUAAUUUGGAAGGAAUGUUUCUGUCUGAUCCUCCUUUUUUAAAAAAAAUUAAUUUUAUUUCUUCAUUUCUUUAUUGUCUAAUCUUUUUUUUUACAAUCCAUACCUUAUACCCCUUGUCUUAUUCAUGGUUUCUAUUCCUACACAAACAUCAUGACCAAGAAGCAAGUUGGGGAGGAAAGGGUUUAUUUGGCUUACACUUUCAUACUGCUUACUGUUCAUCACCAAGGAAGUCAGGACUGGAACUCAAGCAGGUCAAGAAGCAGGAACUGAUGCAGAGGCCACAGAAGGAUGUUUCUUUACUAGCUUGCUUCACCUGGCUUGCUCAGACUGCUGUCUUAGAGAACCCAAGACUACCAGUGCAGAGAGAUGGUCCCACCCACAAGGGGCCUUUCCCCUUGAUCACUAAUUGAGAAAAUGUCUUACAUCUGGAUCUCAUGGAGGCAUUUCCCAACUGAAGCUCCUUUCUCUGUGAUAACUUCAGCUUGUGUCAAGUUGACACAAAAUUAGCCAGUAUAAUUGACACCUUGUCAAUUUGACACGCAAACACAUCACUAGUAAUGCUCAACUCUUAGUUUCUUAUUCAUGCCCAAGAUAUACACAACUUUGAAAGCCCCACAGACUUUACAUAUUAAAAGUUCAAUGCUUUUAAAAUAUCCAAUAUCCUUCAAAAUCCAAAGCCUUUUACAAUGGAAUCCACUAAAAUACUUGUUUCCUUCAAGAGGGAAAAACAUCAGGGCACAGUCACAAUC
rnacentral:lncRNA from 1 species